AUGGCGGCCGCCACCGGCACCAAGCAGCAGCAGCAGCAUCCGCACCCAGCUCCACCACCGGGGGCAACGGUGGUGGACCCCAAGUUCGAGUGGACGGAGAGGGCCGGCACCUACGUACUCCGCCUCACCCUCACCGGCUUCAGGAAGGACGACUUCCGGGUGCAGGUCGACGGCGCGGGCAGGCUCACCAUCCGCGGCACCAGGCCGGGCGCCUCCCUCCACAAGGUCUUCCAGCUGCCCUCCUCCGCCAGCCUCGACGACAUCGCCGGCCGCUUCGAGGCCGGUGUGCUCACGCUCACCAUGCCCAAGCGUGCCGGUGCGCCCAAGGACGAGGGUGCGCCAACAGAGCAGGUCGACGGCGACGUGAAGACGGGAGACGCCGGCGGUGAGAAGAAGGUGCCCAAGCCCGCACCUUCCGGUGAUGCGGCGCCCACAUCCAUCGAGGAGAUCAGAACGAAGCCCAGGGAAGAGCAGCAGAAGGCUCCCCAGGCGGCAGCAGCUGCGCAGACGCCGGAGAAGCAGGCACCGAAUCCAACCUCCAGCGGCAAAGCCAUGGCGGUGGUUGACCGGGAGCGCCUGGCGGAGACGGUGAGGCGACGCGGCGAGGAAGAGAGGGCCAAGGCUGCUGCGGUGGCGGCGGCCAUGGAAGAAGCUAGAGCAGAGCAGGAGAAGACGGCGGCGGCCACGGCGUGCAGCCGCUGGAAAGAGCGCAUGACGGAAGGCCUGGGGCAGCUGACGGACAUGAAGUGGGCGGAGGGCGCAAUGGAGAUGGCGAGGAAGAACAAGGAGGUGGUGGCCGUUGGCGUCGCCGCCUUCACAUUCGGCUUCUUCGUCUCCCAGAGGCUCUUCAAGAAGUGA
rnacentral:rRNA from 1 species